GCCAGGUGGUGCAGUGGUUAAGCACUGAACUUCUGAUCGAGAGGUUGCGGGUUCAUACCCCGGCGCGUCGGCA
rnacentral:tRNA from 1 species